rnacentral:rRNA from 1 species
GGGCUGCAGUAUAUUGACUGUACAAAGGUAGCAUAAUCAUUAGUCAUUUAAUUGAUGACUUGUAUGAAAGAUUGGAUGAAAUAUAAACUGUCUCUUUAUUAUUUAUAGAAUUUAAUUUUUUAAUUAAAAAGUUAAAAUAAUUUAAAAAGACGAGAAGACCCUAUAGAGUUUUAUAUUUAAAUUAAUUAAGAUUAUUUAUAAAAUUUUUAAUUGAAAUUAUUUUUAAUUAUUUUGUUGGGGUGACAAAAAAAUAAAAAUAACUUUUUUUAAAUUUUAACAUAUAUAAUUGAUUUUAUGAUCCAUUUUUAAUGAUUAUAAGAAAAAAUUACCUUAGGGAUAACAGCGUAAUUUUUUUUUUUAGUUCGAAUAAAAAAAAGAGUUUGCGACCUCGAUGUUGGAUUAAGAUAAAAUUUAAAUG